ACACCACCUAACAGUCAUGAUAGUCCCUUCUCUUGGUAGUGACAUGAUGUAGAGAUCUCUGUGCCAUAAUUAUGGAGAGAGCGUGUUUAUAUUCCAUAGACACGCAUAGAAAGACGGCGCCAUUGCCAUCAGCUGAUGAGGCCCCAGACCGAGACCCAAACAUUCUCUCCAGUGCGGUUCCUGCAGCCUGUGUGAUGUGAUUAUUCAUAUUUUUGCCUACCUACACACCUGGCCGGCACUCCCACAGCGUGUAUAGAGACUCAGAACCAAAUGUGGAUGAAGUGGAGAGAAUCCAUUCAAAUUUACAGCAGAUGGAUAGAUUCCUUGGCCCUUAUCCACAUGAGUCCUGGAAGAAGUGGAUCUCUCUCACUCAGCACAUGGAGGAGACAGAACUGAAGUGGAUGAUCCCGCUGUCAGCUCCCAGAAAUGAAGCCGAGGGAAGGGACUAUAUUUUGUUUCACCCAGCCCCCCACCAGAACCUACAGAGAGGGGGCUAGUGAAGUCAGAAUAUAGUCUUUACUCUUCCUACAGUUUGAAGUUGAUUGGUAUGGCCGGACAGCUUAGUGGCAGAGCUCCAGGUGGCCUUCGUCAGCUUCUUGGUGGCACAGGUGUGGGAUGGCUGGGACCAGUGGAGGUGUGUGGAGGAGCAUCUGUGCCAGGCAGAGAUCCCUGAAGACCUAUUCAUCAACAUUGUAGUCCAACAACCUUCCUUGCCUCUGCACUCAACGCUCUCUUCACCAACAUCAAGGACAACUCCGCCAACCUGCCUUGGUCCUUAAGGCUCAGCACUUCAAGGACCACCUCUCUGCCAAGUUCGAGUGGGAUCUGACACUUGGGGACGAGAGAGUACACGCUGGUGGUGGUUGACUUGGUUGUGCGCGUCUCCAGCACCCUGCAGUACGUACACACACACACACAGACAGACAGACGGACAUCAUCAGAGGAAGAAAAUGCUAUGUUCUGUAAAAGUUUAUGACAUUAAGAAAAUAAAGGGUUAAGAUUCAA